rnacentral:rRNA from 1 species
AGCGAACGCUGGCGGCAGGCUUAACACAUGCAAGUCGAGCGGGCGUAGCAAUACGUCAGCGGCAGACGGGUGAGUAACGCGUGGGAACAUACCUCUUGGUUCGGAACAACACAGGGAAACUUGUGCUAAUACCGGAUAAGCCCUUACGGGGAAAGAUUUAUCGCCGAGAGAUUGGCCCGCGUCUGAUUAGCUAGUUGGUGAGGUAACGGCUCACCAAGGCGACGAUCAGAGCUGGUCUGAGAGGAUGAUCAGCCACAUUGGGACUGAGACACGGCCCAAACUCCUACGGGAGGCAGCAGUGGGGAAUAUGGACAAUGGGCGCAAGCCUGAUCCAGCCAUGCCGCGUGAGUGAUGAAGGCCCUAGGGUUGUAAAGCUCUUUUGUGCGGGAAGAUAAUGACGGUACCGCAAGAAUAAGCCCCGCUAACUUCGUGCCAGCCGCCGCUGUAAG